CAGAGUCACAGUGUACACUCUGUGGGGAGCCUGAAGAUUUGGAUUCUCUAACAGGGCAUGCAUUUCAAGAGCUGCAAGUGUUAUGGGCAUGUUGAGAACUUCCAGAAGCUGGAUUAAAGCAUCUCUUUUACAAUGAUAUCUAAUCUCGUCCUAAAGCUCCAAGCAAUGGCGAGUCCACCAGCUCCCCUGGUGCCCCAGAUAUGUUGUGCUGACUCUCUGCAUUGAAGAGAAUUUUAUUUUGGUAACUGAGAGGAGGAAGGAGAGAAAGAAGGAAUCGGCCAGUGAAGAAGCUGCUUCUGCACAUUCCAGAAAGAAUCAGACUAACAUGAGAGACAGGCCAGCUUCAGAUGCCUUUCACUGGACCUCCUGCACAACAAGGAGAACUAGAUUGGUGUGUGGUGAGUUGAAAACGGUAGAGAAUCCCAUGAAAUACAGGUGAGAAGAGAAAGAAGCAUCUUUCUGCAUCUGCAAUAAAAUCUAUGUCUUCCUCAACAUUUCCAGCAUUUUGUCUGUUUUCUGUAUUAGAGUCUUAGAAGACAUACUUUGUGUUUUGUAAACUGCAAUGACAGUGAAGUCCCUAGAAUGGAAAGCAGCUAUCUUGGCUAAAUUAUGUUGCCUGUUGCUAUGGAAAUGGUAGCUCAUGAAUUUUUAUGUAAGUGCUUGAGGUACAAUACUUAUGACAUUUUAUCUCAAAAACAAUGUUUAUGCUUCAUCCACCAUCAGGUUUUUGCUUUACUUUAAUGACAAUAUU